CCUACGGGUGGCAGCAGUGGGGAAUAUUGGACAAUGGGCGAAAGCCUGAUCCAGCCAUGCCGCGUGUGUGAAGAAGGCCUUCGGGUUGUAAAGCACUUUCAGUGGGGAAGAAAGCCUUGGGGCUAAUACCCUCGAGGAAGGACAUCACCCACAGAAGAAGCACCGGCUAACUCCGUGCCAGCAGCCGCGGUAAUACGGAGGGUGCGAGCGUUAAUCGGAAUUACUGGGCGUAAAGCGCGCGUAGGCGGUCUGAUAAGCCGGUUGUGAAAGCCCCGGGCUCAACCCGGGAACGGCAUCCGGAACUGUCAGGCUAGAGUGCAGGAGAGGAAGGUAGAAUUCCCGGUGUAGCGGUGAAAUGCGUAGAGAUCGGGAGGAAUACCAGUGGCGAAGGCGGCCUUCUGGACUGACACUGACGCUGAGGUGCGAAAGCGUGGGUAGCAAACAGGAUUAGAUACCCCUGUAGUC
rnacentral:rRNA from 1 species